rnacentral:rRNA from 1 species
GACGAACGCUGGCGGCGUGCCUAAUACAUGCAAGUAGAACGCUGAAGGAGGAGCUUGCUUCUCUGGAUGAGUUGCGAACGGGUGAGUAACGCGUAGGUAACCUGCCUGGUAGCGGGGGAUAACUAUUGGAAACGAUAGCUAAUACCGCAUAAUAGUAGAUGUUGCAUGAAAUUUGCUUAAAAGGUGCAAUUGCAUCACUACCAGAUGGACCUGCGUUGUAUUAGCUAGUUGGUGGGGUAACGGCUCACCAAGGCGACGAUACAUAGCCGACCUGAGAGGGUGAUCGGCCACACUGGGACUGAGACACGGCCCAGACUCCUACGGGAGGCAGCAGUAGGGAAUCUUCGGCAAUAGACGGAAGUCUGACCGAGCAACGCCGCGUGAGUGAAGAAGGUUUUCGGAUCGUAAAGCUCUGUUGUAAGAGAAGAACGAGUGUGAGAGUGGAAAGUUCACACUGUGACGGUAUCUUACCAGAAAGGGACGGCUAACUACGUG